rnacentral:rRNA from 1 species
GAUGAACGCUGGCGGCGUGCCUAAUACAUGCAAGUCGAGCGAACAGACGAGGAGCUUGCUCCUCUGACGUUAGCGGCGGACGGGUGAGUAACACGUGGAUAACCUACCUAUAAGACUGGGAUAACUUCGGGAAACCGGAGCUAAUACCGGAUAAUAUAUUGAACCGCAUGGUUCAAUAGUGAAAGACGGUUUUGCUGUCACUUAUAGAUGGAUCCGCGCCGCAUUAGCUAGUUGGUAAGGUAACGGCUUACCAAGGCAACGAUGCGUAGCCGACCUGAGAGGGGGAUCGGCGACACUGGAACUGAGACACGGUCCAGACUCCUACGGGAGGCAGCAGUAGGGAAUCUUCUGCAAUGGGCGAAAGCCUGACGGAGCAACGCCGCGUGAGUGAUGAAGGUCUUCGAAUCGUAAAGCUCUGUUAUUAGGGAAGAACAAAUGUGUAAGUAACUAUGCACGUCUUGACGGUACCUAAUCAGAAAGCCACGGCUAACUACGUG